ACGCUCGACACCUACUGGAGGCAGCAGUGGGGAAUAUUGCACAAUGGGGGAAACCCUGAUGCAGCAACGCCGCGUGAAGGAAGACGGUUUUCGGAUUGUAAACUUCUGUUCUUAGUGAAGAUAGUGACGGUAGCUAAGGAGCAAGCCACGGCUAACUACGUGCUAGCAGCCGCGGUAAUCUGAGGCGGGCUGGCAAGGC
rnacentral:rRNA from 1 species